GAGGGCGCGCCAAGCCAGAGCCCAAGGCGCCCUCCAAGAACGCGCGCUACUUGGAAUCCCCCUCCCGGAAACCCGCAAAGCUGGAAAGCACCUUAUCUCAUCCCCUCAUUGCACCAAUAAGGAAGUAGGUCCCAGCGAAAAGAGGCGGCAGGGGCGGAACACACGAGCGACAGAGCUACCGAUCAGUCCUUGAAAGAUGGGAAAGAGCACUGUUAAUCACAGAAACAAAACUGAUCCUUCACCAAAGGUAGCUUGAGAAGCAGAGAGGCCUCCUAAGAACAAUGAAGGGAAGAGACAUAUGCGACCCAAUAACAGGGGGCACACCAUACAGCUUGUGGGAUCUUAGUUCCUUGACCAGGGAUUGAACCCAGGCCCCCAGCAGUGGAAGCGUGGAGUCAUAACCAAUGGACCGCCAGGGAAUUCCCAGGCCCUCAUUUUUCUUGUGGAGAUCACACUGAGGGGUCUCCUAUGCUGUUAUUUGGCCUCCAGUCCCAUCACUUGUCUUCUCCUUUGUAGUGUUGUUUUCUUCGCCCAGAAUCUUCUUCCUUUGUUUAUUUUUGCCUCCAGCAAACUUCUAUUCCAUUUUUUCAGGCCCUUUAAAGGAGUUCAACAAUGGCCUCUCGGGGCUUCCCUGGUGACGCAGUGGUUGAGAACCCACCUGCCAAUGCAGAGGAGAUGGGUUCGAGCCCUGGUCCGGGAAGAUCCCACAUGCCGCGGAGCAAAUAAGCCCGUGCACUACAACUACUGAGCCUGUGCUGUAGAGCCUGUGAGCCACAACUAUUGAGCCUGUGUGCUGCAACUACUGAAGCCCGUGUGCCUAGAGCCCCUGCUCUGCAACAAGAGAAGCCACCGCAAGGAAGAGUAGCCCCUGCUCGCCUCAACUAGAGAAAGCCUGCACGCAGCAGUGAAGACCCAACACAGCCAGAAAUAAAUAAAUUAAAUACAUUUAAAAAAGAGAAUGGCCUCUUGCAAGAAACUUUCCCAGACUCAGACUAGAUUAGUGCUAGAGACUGAAUGUUUAUGUCCCACCCCCAGCCCCCACCAAAUUCAUAUGUUGAAACCUAAUCCCCAAAGUGAUGGUGUUUGGAGGUGAGGUCUUUGAGGUCUUUGGGGUGAUUAGUUCAUGAGGAUGGGGCCUUCAUGAAUGGGAUUAGUGCCCUUAAAAAAGAGACCCCUAGGACUUCCCUGGCAGUCCAGUGGUUAGGACUCUGCUCUACCACUGCAGGGGCCCAGGUACGAUUCCUGGUUGGGGAACUAAGAUCCCGCAUGCUGCGUGGCCAAAAAAAGACUCCAGGGAAUUCCCUGGUGGUCCAGUGGUUAGGACUUGGUGUUUUCACUGCCGUGGCCUGGGUUCAAUCCCUGGUCAGGGAACUAAGAUCUUGCAAGCUGCUCAGCCAAAGAAAAAAGGAAGAGAGAGACUCCAGAAAACUCCCUUGCCCCUUCUAUCCUGUGAGGACCCAGUGAGAAGAUGGCCAUCCAUGAACCAGAGAGCAGGUUCUCACCAGACACAAAU